rnacentral:rRNA from 1 species
CCUACGGGAGGCAGCAGUAGGGAAUAUUGCUCAAUGGGGGAAACCCUGAUGCAGCAACGCCGCGUGGGUGAUGAAGUUUUUCGGUUUGUAAACUUCUAUUGUUAGGGAAGAUGAUAGCGGGAUCUAACGAAUAAGCACCGGCUAACUACGUGCCAGCAGCCGCCGUAAUACGGAGGGUGCAAGCGUUACUCGGAAUCACUGGGUGUAAAGGGCGCGUAGACGGGAUAGCAAGUCAGAUGUGAAAGCCUAGGGCUUAACCAUAGAACUGCUUUUGAAACUGGUGUGCUAGAGGAUGGGAGAGGUAGGUGGAAUUCCUGGUGUAGGGGUGAAAUCCGUAGAUAUCAAGAGGAAUACUAAUUGCGAAGGCGACCUGCUAGAACAUAACUGACGCUGAUGCGCGAAAGCGUGGGGAGCAAACAGGAUUAGAUACCCCAGUAGUC